GCCUUUAGCUGGGCCUUUAGGCUCUCAGUCUGUUUUAUAAUCUUAAAUGGAACCCAUGGUGCUGUUGUAGUGAGCUCUAUUCCUGAAUCGGUUACUGUCCCCAUCUAUGAAACAGCAAAUUUUACUUGUGAAGGAAUUGGCAAUGAACUGAAUUGGCUGGUACAAAGUUCUACAGUAACAGAAUUUAUUAAGUAUCAAAGAAAUAUAUCAAUUACUAAUAGCAUAAAUGGAUCUGGUUUGUCAUCAGUGUUUACUAUUGAAGCUUUGCCAAUAAAUGAUGCAAUUCUGAUUGGUUGUCAGAUUGUAUCUUAUCCACCAUUUGAGCAAGCAUUUUCCAAUGUCAGUAGACUAACAAUUAGAGGAGUAUCAUUAGUUGAAGAUGUACAGUGGUCAAAUGACAAUCAGCUGCUAUCUUGGUCUCAACCUUCUUUCUAUUCUGAUGAUAUUUCUGGAGGCAAUGCCAUUACUGUUUAUAACGUAUUUAUCGAUGGUAUCAGUGUUAUCAAUACUACUGAUACUAGUGUGUGGCUAAAUACUACAGAAUUGGAAAUUGACUGUCAAGAUUUUAAUGUCAGCAUUAUUGCAACUGUUGUGCAAUAUGAAUCAUAUG